rnacentral:rRNA from 1 species
UGGGCGCAGCUGAUCCAGCCAUGCCGCGUGAUGAUGAAGGCCUUAGGGUUGUAAAACUCUUUUCUAGGGAAGAUAAUGACGGUACCUGGUAAAGAAGCCCCGGCUAACUCCGUG